CUGGUAUUGCUGUGGAGAUGUGUUCACAGGAAACCUGAAAACAGUGAUCCAGCUGUGAUCUACUCAGCAGUCAGAACAGGAGACGUCAGUUAUGGAGAAAUCAUCAUCAAAGGGAAGAAAACACGAAGAGACUUUAAACCAGAGCCAGACGUCGUCUACUCUUCACUGAAGUAGUCCACCAGUCCAACCACUGACGUCCAGCUGCUGCUCUCUAACUGGUCCCCCCAGCACCUCAGACUAGAGAACA